AUGAACGCUGGCGGCGUGCCUAAUACAUGUAAGUCGAGCGAACAGAUGAGGAGCUUGCUCCUCUGACGUUAGCGGCGGACGGGUGAGUAACACGUGGAUAACCUACCUAUAAGACUGGGAUAACUUCGGGAAACCGGAGCUAAUACCGGAUAAUAUAUUGAACCGCAUGGUUCAAUAGUGAAAGACGGUUUUGCUGUCACUUAUAGAUGGAUCCGCGCCGCAUUAGCUAGUUGGUAAGGUAACGGCUUACCAAGGCAACGAUGCGUAGCCGACCUGAGAGGGUGAUCGGCCACACUGGAACUGAGACACGGUCCAGACUCCUACGGGAGGCAGCAGUAGGGAAUCUUCCGCAAUGGGCGAAAGCCUGACGGAGCAACGCCGCGUGAGUGAUGAAGGUCUUCGGAUCGUAAAACUCUGUUAUUAGGGAAGAACAAAUGUGUAAGUAACUAUGCACGUCUUGACGGUACCUAAUCAGAAAGCCACGGCUAACUACGUG
rnacentral:rRNA from 1 species